ensembl:lncRNA
GUUUGCUUUAAACCGAGGGGCCGAGCUACAACAUUCAGCACUUUCCCCUCCUCCUCCUCCUCCUCACUACCCCUCCGUGAGCAAAAACAAGAGGUCUGCACAGCUGUUGGUCUUCUCAGUAGUCAGGUUGUGAAUGUGGAGCAGUGAGGCAGAAAGUUUAACUCCUGCAGCUGCCGGCGCCUGUCUCCUAACCACUCCUCUUACUCACCUCAACCUCAACUGUCUGGCGUCCAUUUUAAGCUCUGCCUCUGCACGCUCCUGCCCCGCACUCCUCUGCUGCUGUUUCUCUAUUUUUCACUCCGACACAACGGAAAGCAUGACUGCUCGGAACAUGGCCCGUGGUUCUUCAUCGCAGCGUGACUGCUGUGUCAUCUAACUGCACCUGCUUCUAAUAGAGCUCUAAUAAAGUCGAUAUGCAGCUAUAUGAAACGUAUCAUAUGAAAAUUGGAGUCGUUUCUACGCAAUCAUGAAAAAGUACACUCCAGUUUUUUGGCCCAGUCCCGCCAUUUCAGUUUGAGCCGGGAAGUUUAUUUUCAGCUUGUCACUAAGCGAUGUUUUUUUUUUUUUUUUUUGGUAUCCCUGUAUGAUUAUCAUAACAGAGGUCCGUUCGUGUCAGUUCCGUCGUAUCCAGCAGUAAACAUGGUGUAGGC